UCAGCUCUCCGAAGUGGAACAUACCACGGCAGCCACGGGAGUGUCCGCCCUGGCAUCGCCUUUAGAGGUCACGUCUACCAACCUACUGAGAUGGCUCUGGUCAUGAACGGUGGAACAAUGCCCACGGCCCCAGUUAACUACACUGGAAGACGGUUGUGGUAAAAUGGGAUGAGACUUGAAGAGGAUACACUGGUGUGUACUUGUAGAAUUUCCCGUUGCCUAAGAAAAAGAAGAAGAUAUUAAAGGCGUCACAUAUCACACAGAAUGGAGUUGAUGGGGGCUUAAAAAAAAGUUUAAUGUGUUUUAUGUUUCUGCACACAUGUAUGAAUUUUACAUUUUAAGAACCAAUCCUAACACUGUAGUAUUUAUGCUUAAGUUUUCUGGAUUGCCUCUUUAUCAGCAGACUGGACAUGAAAUCACAGGAGAGGGAAGAGAAAGUGACGCAGCUUCCACAGUUCAGGAGAUUUUGUCAUAAAGCCAGGGUAUUUAUGGUGCAUUAUUUUGAUAGUCAGCACAGAUAGUCUUAACUGUAAUAUGUAUAUAUAUACACUGACAAGGAAUGUAUAAGGAGGGUUAAUGUUAUUAUAGCGUAUAUAAAGUCAAUAUCAAAGACUAGUGUUCAAUGUGGUAUUACCACGAGAAAGUAAAGAUUAAAGGACGACAUGAAUGAAGUGAAGUAAACAUUUUGUGUGAACAGCUCUAAAUCGAUGCUGUUACUGAUGCCAGUUCAUCAAACUACGCUUUCCUUCUUUUUCUAUCAGGCGUUAAGCCCCAACAAAAAGGACAAAAAAAAAGCUUUAGAUCGUUAAUGUAAAUUACCUGCAUACACCCACAUAGCUUGCUUGGCCUCUGUGUUACAUGCUGGAAAGACCCAAAGGACUCAUAGUGUUUUUCUCUCCAUAUCUCCAUCCUAUUAUCAGUGCUACUGGACAGUUUGGCACAUUUCACUGCGUGAAUUGACAAUUGUCAUGCAUUUAACAAAGCCUCUGCAGAGUUCUGGAGGAUCGGCUGAUAAUUCAGAAAGAAGGAGCUUAAAUGAGUCGACAGCUCAUGGAUGAGUAGUUUUUAAUAAGCAUAUCAUAAAAAGCCAUUUAAUACUGUAAUGCCUAUAAUGCAGUAUAUAAGGUUUACUGUUGGAGGUUGUGAUUUUGCACUUUAUCAUGUCUGGGCAUUGUGAUAUUUGAGAUGCAUGUAAAAGCGCAGUUUAAAGGUAAUGUAUUUUGUCAAAAUUUAAUUGUAUUUUGAGUGUUUUCUAGAAUUUUGAUAUACACAUAGAGGAGAAAUACCAGUUUUAGUGUUGAGUUCAUUCUCAUCUGAAGUGCUCAGAAAAUAUAAACAUCUACAAUUCCAUGAAAACUGGGGAAACUUGAUCUGCAGAGGAAGACCAUGUGGUACAAUGGAAAGCUCUGGAACAGCUACAAAAUGGACCUUGAGGUUGGACUUUGUUCUCAGCCCGUUUUGGUGCAUUUUCACUCAUGUUUCCCAAAAGUUACUUUGGAUCUCAUAAGGCUCCUAAUCAUUAUAUACACUUUAUUUGAGAUGUAUGGCAACAUCUCAUUAUAUUCUUGUGUUCAAGAUCCCUUUACAUUUUAAAUUCCCAUCGAAUAUAGAGAAACAUUUAGUCAUGCAUCACUGUGAAUUAACCUGGAACAGAUUCAAACGCAUGUAUACUGUUUUUUAUUAGUGACGCAGCAAAGUUUGGCUCCAAAGCGAGACAGAUUUCUAGUCAGCAGCUGCUGGCAAUUGAACUCUGAGGCAGCUUCCUACUUGACUGGAGGGAUGCAGUUUUCAUCUCCCGAGCAACACUGGCUUCAUUCCAGGACAUUUUAUCCAGUUAAAACACAAUUCAAAGAAAAGUCACCAUGUUCAUGCCGGGACCAUUUCCCCUUGCUGUGAGACUCAACUAUAUAAUUUGCUUUUGUGUACAAGUGUAUGCUCAGAUAUUGUACAGUGAAAAUAUUACCAUCACAGGAUUUUUAUGUAUCAACGCUAUAUAACUGAGUUUUAAUCAUGUAAAUAACCCAAAUGUGAAAAUGGUAUUUUCCUUUUAAGAUGCUCUUAUGAUGAUAGCACUGUCACUGUUUAAUGGCAGCGUAACAUGAAUGUCUGUAAUGUGAUUCGCACAAAGUGGCUAAUACAUUGGUGCAUAUUUUCUGUUAAGUA